CAGAUUUCCAGGAGAGCAGCAAGAAGCUGCAUCAGUUCAGACCUAUUUCCUUGCAGAAGUCUGAUUUAGCUGUUUGAUGUGGCAAGGUGUCCUGAGCCUGAACAGAUGCAAUGACAGACAAGGCAAACGUGAUUUCAGAACACAGCCAGGAUUUCACAUCCAAAAUGAUGAUCACUGUAGUGAAAUGGAACUGACUGAAGCUCUGCAGGCCCACGUGCUGUACUCUGGGAAGAAACAGGCACGAGCAAACCCCCAGAACUGACUGUAUUUCACCAAGCUGCAACAAGUACAGCCUUCCUCUGAAGUGGCAAUAGCCACUUACGAGGUCCUGAUCAGUCUGACACCCAAGGCAGUGAUGAGGAAUAAGGAACACAGACUUCCCCCAUCAGCAGCAAAAGCAGUCAGUCACUGCUUCUCUGGUGAGAAGAGCUUCUCACUACACAGCAACAAAAGGUGUCAAAGAGGAAAAGAUUAGCACAAGAUAAACCAAAUAUGUAAAUUUCAUUCCAGAUGAAAAAAUACUACAUGCCUAGAGGGAAAGAAUCAAAUGAAUGUGUUUACCUUAAUUCUGCAAUUUGAAAAAGCAAACUUGAGAAGAAUGAUUAAAAGCACAUGAAAUGGGAAGUGUGCCCUUUAAAUACCAACUUCUAAUUGAAGUGAUGUGAAUAUGUAAAUCUAAUUAUCCACAUUUAAGGAUUAGGUAUUUUAUUAAAACUGCCUUGAUUUAAAUUGCACAAUCAGUCCUUUUAUUAAGACUUUUCAUUUAUUUUCGUUCUGGUAUUUGUUAAUAAGACCUGACAAAACACCAGACACCACGUCUUGAGCCAUUGCUGCAGUGCCUCUACAGCACAGCUGGAUGAAUACCCUAGCGCUCAGCUCCCACAUACAAUAACACACGACAGGGCUAAAGGAAAACUUCAUUUUAGCUGCAGACAAUAUUAUUUCUUAGAGUCUUAAAUGCAAGAUAUAAUCGCACUAGAUAGGAUUUCCAAAGGUUUUACCUUUCUUUCUAAACUGGUGUGCACAUGUGACUGUUAAUUCCAGUGCCCUGUCCCACUGCCCCAGGCGAGAGCCCCUGCCCUGUGUGACACUGCCCAGAGCAGCACGGGGGCUCUGCCUGCACUGCCCUCACCCCCUGAGCACUGCCAGGGUGACACUGCACCCACUGCCUUCCUGCCUCACAGGACAGCUCUUCUGCCACCUCACACAGCCGCCUCCUGCACAGCUCUCCACUUGGGCCUCAGCUUCUGGAAAGGCAACUCGUCUUCAGUGGACAGAGCAACUAUUCCUCCAAGCAGUGCUGGUUUGUCCCAGGGCCCAGUGGUGCAGACUGUAACAUGCUUGUCUCAUUUAUUCUCUCAAUUUGACUUCAGCAUCCCGUCACUGAUCCUUAGAGCACCUUCCUCCUAAGAUCAAACCACCCUUUAACGUUCCCCUCUCUGAAAACACUGAUGCACAGAACAGUUCAGGCAGAGCAAAGCAGACACCGUAUCAUUUCAGACAAUCAAUGCUCAUUAUCUGACAGAAAAGAAGCCCCAAGUAUCUGGAUCAGAAUGUGCCCAUUUCUUCUCAUUCCCAGCUACUGAAGUGCAAGAGAUCUGUGCCAAGAAAUGUGUAAAUAAAUUGCUUCUUCCUCAA